rnacentral:lncRNA from 1 species
UGCCAAGUCACCGCUAGCAACUACGAUGUGCCAGAUUCCCUAUCAAGCCCCCCAGCGACGUUAGCAGUCCGAGAGCCACCCCACAACCCUCGGAUCUGGUUUAACGGGUCACAGGUCAUGAACGGCCAGAACAUCACCAUCCCUGCUGGCUCCAGAGCUUCGGUGACCUGCGAAGCUAGGUUCGGGAACCCACCGGCUUAUAUCGAGUGGUAUUUGG